rnacentral:misc_RNA from 1 species
GAUGAAGAACGUAGCGAAAUGCGAUAAGUAAUGUGAAUUGCAGAAUUCAGUAAAUCAUCGAAUCUUUGAACGCACAUUGCGCCCGCUAGUAUUCUGGCGGGCAUGCCUGUCCGAGCGUUAUUUCAACCCUCAAGCCCCCGGGCUUGGUGUUGGGGAUCGGCGAGCCUCCGCGCCCGCCGUCCCCUAAAUCUAGUGGCGGUCUCGCUGUAGCUUCCUCUGCGUAGUAGCACACCUCGCACUGGGAAACAGCGCGGCCACGCCGUUAAACCCCCAACUUCUGAACGUUUGACCUCGGAUCAGGUAGGAAUACCCGCUGAACUUAAGCAUAUCAAUAAGCGGAGGA